GUUAAGCGACUAAGCGUACACGGUGGAUGCCCUGGCAGUCAGAGGCGAUGAAGGACGUGCUAAUCUGCGAUAAGCGUCGGUAAGGUGAUAUGAACCGUUAUAACCGGCGAUUUCCGAAUGGGGAAACCCAGUGUGUUUCGACACACUAUCAUUAACUGAAUCCAUAGGUUAAUGAGGCGAACCGGGGGAACUGAAACAUCUAAGUACCCCGAGGAAAAGAAAUCAACCGAGAUUCCCCCAGUAGCGGCGAGCGAACGGGGAGCAGCCCAGAGCCUGAAUCAGUGUGUGUGUUAGUGGAAGCGUCUGGAAAGGCGCGCGAUACAGGGUGACAGCCCCGUACACAAAAAUGCACAUG
rnacentral:rRNA from 1 species